GGUAAGAGAGGCCGCGCGGCCUGCGUUUUUUCGCAAAAAGGUACCCUGUGACUCUCAUUCUGAUUCAGUGUUCUGAUGAGUUCCCUCUCUUGCAUGGUAAAUGUAACUCUGCCAUCCUGCAGGGCUAAGAGCAGGCUGCGUACCCUCCAGUGAGAUUGUCCAUCCAAGUCCUCAUCAAGCCUAGCUUUGGGGACCUCUCCCAUGUUCUCCCAAAGGACGUGCUGCACACUCUCGUCUGGCAUUCGUCUGGGAACUGGAUUCCCUUACAAGGCACUUGGGCUCUGCCUUUCCCUAGAAAAAGGAGGAGAAAAUGACCAAACUCCAGGUGAGUUGAUUCUCAUUUCUGUCGUUAAUAUGUCACCUCAUUCAUCAGAGAAUGGAUACAUUUUUUCCCUUUUCUUGACCAAGUGUAAAGAAUGACAGCAGUCAUUUAAUACCACUUAUGUGUCUGGC
rnacentral:lncRNA from 1 species